UACAGAGGUCUCAAGCGUUGUUCGGAUUCAUUGGGCGUAAAGGGUGCGUAGGCGGCGCGGUAAGUCGGGUGUGAAAUCUCGGGGCUUAACUCCGAAACUGCAUUCGAUACUGCCGGGCUAGAGUCCGGAAGAGGCGAGUGGAACUCCUGGUGUAGCGGUGGAAUGCGCAGAUAUCAGGAAGAACACCAACGGCGAAGGCAGCUCGCUGGGACGGUACUGACGCUGAGACGCGAAAGCGUGGGGAGCGAACAGG
rnacentral:rRNA from 1 species